GCCAAGAGUAGAAGCGUUCAGCAGCCCGCACGGCCGCCCGGAAAUUGCUCUUGGC
rnacentral:ncRNA from 1 species